rnacentral:rRNA from 1 species
UACGUAGGGUGCAAGCGUUGUCCGGAAUUAUUGGGCGUAAAGAGCUCGUAGGCGGUCUGUCGCGUCUGCUGUGAAAACCUGGGGCUUAACCCCGGGCCUGCAGUGGGUACGGGCAGACUAGAGUGUGGUAGGGGGAGACUGGAAUUCCUGGUGUAGCGGUGAAAUGCGCAGAUAUCAGGAGGAACACCGGUGGCGAAGGCGGGUCUCUGGGCCAUAACUGGCGCUGAGGAGCGAAAGCGUGGGGGAGCGAACAGG